rnacentral:rRNA from 1 species
AUUGAACGCUGGCGGCAGGCCUAACACAUGCAAGUCGAGCGGAUGAAGGGAGCUUGCUCCUGGAUUCAGCGGCGGACGGGUGAGUAAUGCCUAGGAAUCUGCCUGGUAGUGGGGGAUAACGUCCGGAAACGGGCGCUAAUACCGCAUACGUACUGAGGGAGAAAGUGGGGGAUCUUCGGACCUCACGCUAUCAGAUGAGCCUAGGUCGGAUUAGCUAGUUGGUGGGGUAAAGGCCUACCAAGGCGACGAUCCGUAAAUGGUCUGAGAGGAUGAUCAGUCACACUGGAACUGAGACACGGUCCAGACUCCUACGGGAGGCAGCAGUGGGGAAUAUUGGACAAUGGGCGAAAGCCUGAUCCAGCCAUGCCGCGUGUGUGAAGAAGGUCUUCGGAUUGUAAAGCACUUUAAGUUGGGAGGAAGUGCAGUAAGUUAAUACCUUGCUGUUUUGACGUUACCAACAGAAUAAGCACCGGCUAACUUCGUG